AGAGUUUGAUCAUGGCUCAGAUUGAACGCUGGCGGCAGGCCUAACACAUGCAAGUCGAGCGGUAGAGAGAAGCUUGCUUCUCUUGAGAGCGGCGGACGGGUGAGUAAUGCCUAGGAAUCUGCCUGGUAGUGGGGGAUAACGCUCGGAAACGGACGCUAAUACCGCAUACGUCCUACGGGAGAAAGCAGGGGACCUUCGGGCCUUGCGCUAUCAGAUGAGCCUAGGUCGGAUUAGCUAGUUGGUGAGGUAAUGGCUCACCAAGGCGACGAUCCGUAACUGGUCUGAGAGGAUGAUCAGUCACACUGGAACUGAGACACGGUCCAGACUCCUACGGGAGGCAGCAGUGGGGAAUAUUGGACAAUGGGCGAAAGCCUGAUCCAGCCAUGCCGCGUGUGUGAAGAAGGUCUUCGGAUUGUAAAGCACUUUAAGUUGGGAGGAAGGGCAUUAACCUAAUACGUUAGUGUUUUGACGUUACCGACAGAAUAAGCACCGGCUAACUCUGUGCCAGCAGCCGCGGUAAUACAGAGGGUGCAAGCGUUAAUCGGAAUUACUGGGCGUAAAGCGCGCGUAGGUGGUUCGUUAAGUUGGAUGUGAAAUCCCCGGGCUCAACCUGGGAACUGCAUUCAAAACUGACGAGCUAGAGUAUGGUAGAGGGUGGUGGAAUUUCCUGUGUAGCGGUGAAAUGCGUAGAUAUAGGAAGGGACACCAGUGGCGAAGGCGACCACCUGGACUGAUACUGACACUGAGGUGCGAAAGCGUGGGGAGCAAACAGGAUUAGAUACCCUGGUAGUCCACGCCGUAAACGAUGUCAACUAGCCGUUGGGAGCCUUGAGCUCUUAGUGGCGCAGCUAACGCAUUAAGUUGACCGCCUGGGGAGUACGGCCGCAAGGUUAAAACUCAAAUGAAUUGACGGGGGCCCGCACAAGCGGUGGAGCAUGUGGCUUAAUUCGAAGCAACGCGAAGAACCUUACCAGGCCUUGACAUCCAAUGAACUUUCCAGAGAUGGAUUGGUGCCUUCGGGAACAUUGAGACAGGUGCUGCAUGGCUGUCGUCAGCUCGUGUCGCGAGAUGUUGGGUUAAGUCCCGUAACGAGCGCAACCCUUGUCCUUAGUUACCAGCACGUAAUGGUGGGCACUCUAAGGAGACUGCCGGUGACAAACCGGAGGAAGGUGGGGAUGACGUCAAGUCAUCAUGGCCCUUACGGCCUGGGCUACACACGUGCUACAAUGGUCGGUACAGAGGGUUGCCAAGCCGCGAGGUGGAGCUAAUCCCACAAAACCGAUCGUAGUCCGGAUCGCAGUCUGCAACUCGACUGCGUGAAGUCGGAAUCGCUAGUAAUCGCGAAUCAGAAUGUCGCGGUGAAUACGUUCCCGGGCCUUGUACACACCGCCCGUCACACCAUGGGAGUGGGUUGCACCAGAAGUAGCUAGUCUAACCUUCGGGAGGACGGUUACCACGGUGUGAUUCAUGACUGGGGUGAAGUCGAAACAAGGUAGCCGUAGGGGAACCUGCGGCUG
rnacentral:rRNA from 1 species